rnacentral:lncRNA from 1 species
UUUAUGUUUCAAGACAUUCAAGCAUUCAAAGUUCAAGAUUCAAAUAUUUUGAUUUGGAGGGAAAUAACUUAUUCUUGAGAAACAAGUUAGAAGUGGCUAUUCAAAGGCCAAGAAUCUCAUUACAAACACCAAAUUUCAUUACAAAAUCCAAAUUUACAAAUUACAUACAAAAACUAUUAUUUGGCCUAACGCUGACUUUUUGUCAACGGUUGACUUUUGGUCAAAUAAUUGACGAAAGUCAAACUGACUCAUAAUCCUACUUUUUCUCCAUCCUCAAGACAUUUCAUGUUUAUGCCUCCAAGUCUACAAGUCUCUAAAACCUAUUCAUGUCUUUGAUGCCAUGCCUCCAUAAUGUCAUGCCAAAACCUUAAUCAUGCCUUGCCAACCUUGAUAAUCCCAUGCCCAGUCUCCUUUAUGCCAUCAACCCUGCAGCAAUGUAAACCAAGUCAUGAUACAUAAAAUGAUUACGAUACACAUUACAAAAAUCAAGAUAAUGGUUCCAAACAAGUAAACCAAUUAAUAUCCAUUCAAAUAGCAUAACCAGUUCAUUAACUUAACCCAUUUCCAAUUCCAAAAUUCCAUAAUACGUUCAGCAAUUAACCUACAUUUCUAACUAUCGUACAUUGAUUAACAUUUGUUCAAACUCCUCCUAACAUCUAACAAGUUCAAUUCCAAUUCCUACUAACAUUUCCAUCCAAUCAGCAAUUCCAAAUUGCUAAAUUUCAACAAACUCCUAACAUACUAACUGUCACAACUCCAAUCAACACAUUAACUAACUUCUAACAGUUCAAUUGAAAAACUAACAUCAUCUAAAAGUUAUAAGUCAACACAAUUCCAGUUAGCAUAGCAUUGAAAUUAACAUCUACUGUAUAAUACCAUAACAUUUCCAUAGCAGUCCAUAUAUAAUUCAACUACCGAUUUCCAAGCCAAUUAACAUAACAAUUCAAGAACGUAACACUAAUAGUUCAUAUCAAUUUAGCCAAAUUUCUAACUACCCUAACACAUUUCAGUAACAAGUCAAUACCAAUACUAACUGACUUCAAUUUACUAACAAUUCUCACAUAGUUCACUUCUAUUCUAACAGUCCAACUAACAUUCAUAACAAUACACUAACCUAACUCUUUAACAUAACUAAUUAUCAUAGUUCACUAAUCAACUAACUAACACAUUCUAAGAUUCUACUAACACUUCUAACCAAACUAACUUACUAACAGAAUUUCUAACUGUCCAAAAUUCAAACUAACAGUUUAAACUAAUAGUGUUAACUAAUUUAACUACUUUGCUCAUGAAUUGAAUUAACACUAAAACCUGACUUAACCUUAAUAAUGUUUCCCUAACCAUAUUGGUUAUGAAAUAUCCAUCCAAAUUAGAUAUAUUUAAACUCCCUUCCUCAAUCAUCUUCACUCAUCAUCACUCACCCUCUGAUCAGAAUUCAUCGUAUCUCUGCAACUCUGUAAUUCUCUCACAACCUCACCAAGCUCACUUAAAGCUCUCCAUUCCUAAGUUUCAGAGCUUCAUCAAUGGAACCUCUGAACAAUUGAGAUAAGCAUCCUAUCUACACUCUUCACUCCCUUCUCAUAUCAACCACAAUAACACAACAAUUUUCAACAGUUCCUACGGACUACAUUCAGGAAAAGAAGAAGAAGACAUUGUUAUAAAAAGUUGAAGCAUCGAAGUGUUUAUCUGCUGAUACAUCUCUGGUAUUAUCUUCAUUAGCGUAUUCAAGCAACCUCAAUAAUUCCUAGGGCGAACCUCUGCCUUGUAGGUUGGAUCCUCUUCUUUUUACUUCUUUUUGCUUCAAGUUAGUUACCAAGAUGUAGAGGAAGAUGAGGGGAAUUGAAUACCCAAGGUUGUUUGCUUUGAUUCCGAUCCAUUGUGAUUUUAUUUAGGUUUGAGUGUGUUAGGGUUCUUGGUUCUUUUUGGUUCAAAUUCAGAAUCCAGUAAAAAUCAAGUGAAUUGGAGUUGAGAAAUGGAAAGAUAAGAGUAAGAGGGUUCUAUUGGUGGUGAAUAUGGUUGGAUCUAGGUUGCUUCGCCGCCUCCAGCGCGGUGGAGCGAUUUCUGGCUAAGGGUCAUAAGAGAUGGAGAAAGUGCAGGUUGGGAGUGGAGAUGGAAUGAAAGUGAGGUAUGAUUUCCUUUUUCCUUUGAUCCCUCAAACGCGUUGGGCUUCACCACAUUAAG